CCUACGGGGGGCAGCAGUGGGGAAUAUUGCACAAUGGGCGCAAGCCUGAUGCAGCCAUGCCGCGUGUGUGAAGAAGGCCUUCGGGUUGUAAAGCACUUUCAGCGGGGAGGAAGGCGUUAAGGUUAAUAACCUUGUCGAUUGACGUUACCCGCAGAAGAAGCACCGGCUAACUCCGUGCCAGCAGCCGCGGUAAUACGGAGGGUGCAAGCGUUAAUCGGAAUUACUGGGCGUAAAGCGCACGCAGGCGGUCUGUCAAGUCGGAUGUGAAAUCCCCGGGCUCAACCUGGGAACUGCAUUCGAAACUGGCAGGCUAGAGUCUUGUAGGGGGGGGUAGAAUUCCAGGUGUAGCGGUGAAAUGCGUAGAGAUCUGGAGGAAUACCGGUGGCGAAGGCGGCCCCCUGGACAAAGACUGACGCUCAGGUGCGAAAGCGUGGGGAGCAAACAGGAUAGAUACCCGAGUAGUC
rnacentral:rRNA from 1 species